rnacentral:rRNA from 1 species
GAUGAGCGCUAGCGGCAGGCUUAAUACAUGCAAGUCGAGGGGCAGCAUGAUUGUAGCAAUACAAUUGAUGGCGACCGGCAAACGGGUGCGGAACACGUACACAACCUUCCAACAAGUGGGGGAUAGCCCAGAGAAAUUUGGGUUAAUACCCCGUAACGUAACGAUGUGGCAUCACAUUGUUAUUAUAGAUUGUUCGCUUAUUGAUGGGUGUGCUGCUGAUUAGAUAGUUGGCGGGGUAACGGCCCAACAAGUCUACGAUCAGUAGCUGAUGUUAGAGCAUGAUCAGCCACACGGGCACUGAGAAACGGGCCCGACUCCUACGGGAGGCAGCAGUAAGGAAUAUUGGACAAUGGACGCAAGUCUGAUCCAGCCAUGCCGCGUGAAGGAUUAAGGUCCUCUGGAUUGUAAACUUCUUUUAUAAGGGACGAAAAAAGGCUUUUCUAAGUCGUCUGACGGUACCUUAUGAAUAAGCACCGGCUAACUCCGUGCCAGCAGCCGCAGUAAUAC